GUGGCCGUCGUUCAACGGCACAGGAUCCCGGCCCGCCAAGUCGGGGAUGGGGGUUCGAAUCCCCCCGGCCACA
rnacentral:tRNA from 1 species